AAGUAAGCAAGGGAAACAUUUAUGGCUUUGGGAUGAGACUGUACGGUAUCAGCUUGUUGGUGAGGUAAUGGCUUACCAAGGCAAUGACGGGUAGCUGGUCUUAGAGGACGAUCAGCCACACUGGAACUGAGACACGGUCCAGACUCCUACGGGAGGCAGCAGUGGGGAAUAUUGCACAAUGGGGGAAACCCUGAUGCAGCAACGCCGCGUGGAGGAUGACGCAUUUCGGUGUGUAAACUCCUUUUAUCAAGGAAGAAAUUUGACGGUACUUGAUGAAUAAGCACCGGCUAACUCCGUGCCAGCAGCCGCGGUAAUACGGAGGGUGCAAGCGUUACUCGGAAUUACUGGGCGUAAAGGACGCGUAGGCGGUUUAGAAAGUCAGAUGUGAAAGCCUAUGGCUUAACCAUAGAA
rnacentral:rRNA from 1 species